rnacentral:rRNA from 1 species
AUGGCCGUGGAGUCUCUGCUGAAGGUAGAAGAAAGGAAAAAAGGAGAGGCAGGAAAAAAGAUAAGGAUAGGAAGGGGCGGUUGUGCGAGGCCCAUCACAUACACACGUCUUGCUCGGGGGUUGUUUUCGUGGACGUUGGGGCCAGCGUGGCGCGCGAACCGGCCGAACGUUCGGCCGGUGCCUCGGCCCCAAACGUUUACCUUCUUCUUAUGUCUGUUGGUAUCAAUUAGUUCGUCACUUCAUCAUCGGGCCAUCAGUCAUCACUACAGAUGGAGCAAGGAGGAGCAUUCAGCUGUACUUUCCACAGCCACUGAUUCCACCGCGCAGGAAUUGUCAGAAUGGAAUGCGAAAUACUGGGACAAGUUUGGGUUUGUCUUCAUGAUAUGCGCGUCCAAGAGGACCGCUCCUGAGGUCUUAGCCGAGCUUAAGUUCUGCAUAUGUCCAUUCGAGUAG